GAGAAGGCGGGAAGCUUCCUCAUUCGUUUCCCGCUUGGGAGAGAACGAGGGAAGCGCGCGAGGAGGAUGGGGAAAGGCGCGUGCUCGCUGGGGGGGGGCGGGGGCGCGCGGUUUUUUGGCGCGAAGCAAAGCGCGGGAGAAAAGGCGCGAAGGCUCAUUUCGCUUUUAUUCCCUGAGGAGAAGCUUUCGCUCAUUCAUCUAACCUGAAGGAGAGGUGUCUGGGCUCAAAGCCCGUCGCAGCUCUUCUCUCGCAUGCCUCAAGUACUAAGGUUGAAAUAAUGGCACCAUUGGUGCAGACUACACUGAUCCGAAGCCAAUCUCUGUCCGUGGCUGAAGCACCCUGCAAGGACUGGAUGAUAAGCAGGUUUGAAGAAUACUUAUGAAGAACAUGGGCAUUAAGGCAGCUGAUGGACUUAUUCUGUAGGAGUGUCCGCUGGCGCUGUGUGUACCCUGAAUUACAAUGUGAGUUGGGCUGAUUCAUGGAAGGUUCUCCACCCCCUCCCCUCCCCAACGCUGUCAGCUUGGUCUCAUUUCUCUGGAAAAACUUUCCCGAAGACUCUCUGCCUGGGAAAGAAAAUCACAUCCCCAUGGCUCCAUUUUAGAAAAGUCUACAGCCCUGCUUGGGAACCUCUGGCCCUCCAGAUAUUUUUGGAAUCCCAUCAUCCCUGAGCUCUGACAACACUGGCUGGGGUUGAUGGGUGUUAGAGUUCAACAACUUAAAUUUAAAAAAUGCUCAAAAUGUGCAAUAUAGCCUUGAAUUCUGCCUCCAUCCUUACAUCCCACUUUCCUUCUAUCUUUCUUCCUGUACUGCUUUUGUUAGUGACUGAUGAUGAGAGAAUUAUUUCUUCACCCCGUUACAUUCACAAUGCCAGAACGUCAGGUGUUUGGCCAUGAUGUGUCGUCUGCUUCCUCUUGCAUUCUAAUGGGCAUUACAAGGAAAAUGAAUGUUGGCAGCUCUUCAGGGAUGCUUGAUUAACUCAGAAAGCCAUAGUUUCCACACAGUGCAAUCUCUAUAAAGAGAAUUAUCUGCCUUUCUUUCAUUCAUACUUUGGUCUCUUAAUCAAACUAUGCAAACUAAAGAAACAAAAGGAGACGUUGAUCCAUUAACAAAAUGCCAGCACUGCAGUCAUUGCCAUAAUCUGAUUCCAAACAGUUGCACUUUUCCAAGGGCGCAAACACACAUUUCUAAUUACUACUAGGUGACUCUUUCCUGCAUGAAGAUUAUCUCCAGUUAGGAAAACUUUUGCACAGCUUCACAUGCAAUCAAGCUGGCACCCAGGAAUUUUGGACAGAGAGGGCUUAUGUGAAGGACAUGCAAUAUACAAAUGUGACACUAGAUGGUGACAGUGAGCUAUGACAAAUUCAAUGCAUUUUUCAAAACUUUU